rnacentral:misc_RNA from 1 species
CGCCCACUCGACAUGAACAACGAUUCUUCGGGGCCGAUGGUUUCUCCGCGCCCCGUUUUACCGCGCCCCAUUUCGCCCAUGUCACCGCAACCCGAUUCACCGAGUCCCAUUGCAGGUCAGCCGGCCGCCGCCGGCACGAGUUCACGCAUUGGACAGCUCGACGCCUUGCGCGGACUGGCAGCCGUAUGUGUCAUGCUGUUCCAUUACACGCUGCGCUACGACGAACUCUUCGGCUAUCCCGAACGCGUGACCACGUGGUUUCGUCACGGCGGCUACGGCGUGGAUUUCUUCUUCAUGCUCAGCGGCUUUGUGAUCUUCAUGACCCUGGAGCGCACCCGGAGCGCUUGGGACUUUGCCUGGGGACGGUUUUCCCGCCUCUACCCGGCUUAUUGGGCCGCCGUGGCCAUCACCGGCCUCGUCGUCUGGCAAACGCAGUUCCCCGGCCAGGCCGUUAGCCUAAGAGACGCGCUCCUCAAUCUGACCAUGGUCCAGCAGGCGCUUGGCGCCGAGCACAUCGACGGAGUGUACUGGUCGCUGCAGGCGGAGCUGCUCUUUUAUGCGGGGAUGCUGGCCCUGCAUCUCGUGGGCGCCUUUCGGCGAUUCAACCACACGCUGGCCGCGUGGCUCACCCUCGCCACCGCGAGUUGGUGGGUGACAGCCCUCGAACUGCCGCCGGGGCAGCUCUUGGAAAUCGUCCAGAAGUCGCGGCUGCUGCUGAGCCUGGAGUUUCAUUUCACCUCCCUUUUUGGAAUCGGCAUCGUCCUGUACCGCAUGCGGCAGUCGGGCCGACCGAGCGCCGUCGAAAGCUUGCUCCUGGCGUGGUGCAUCGCAUUGCAGGCCUUGACCGAUUCGCCCCGUGCGGCUUGCCUGGCCGUGUUUUUCGCCGGCAUCCUGUACCUGGCCGCGACCGGCCGGCUGCAAGUCCUCUCCGCCCGACCGCUCAUGUUCCUGGGAGCCAUUUCCUAUCCCUUGUACCUGCUGCACCAGAAUAUCGGCUAUGUGGUCAUCCGCCACUUGCAGACCUGGGGGGCUGGCAUGUAUGAAAGCAUUCUGGCCGCCAUCGGCGUUUCGUUGCUGUUGGCGACGAUGCUCCAUCGGAGCGUGGAGCGCCCGGCCACGAAGUGGCUCCGGCACCACGGACGCCAACUGCAGCCGUGGGCGAAGUGGCUGUGCCUAAUCGGAAACGUUUCCGCCGGGCGAAUCGUGGACGAACUCGCGGAUCCUAACGUCGCCUCUCAAGAGACAGCUCCGACCGAACGGACCAAACUAGACGAACCUGCCCAGUUAAACUCCGACUUAUGCGCUACUUGCUCCUCGCCGCCUGGAUUGCCGUAAUCGUGCCCGCCGACCUGCUUGCCGGCGAUGAAGCCUUCGACCGUUUGGCGAAGGAAUACAUCAGCGAAUUCUCUUCGCUGCACCCCGUUUCGGCCACGCUAUUAGGCGACCACCGCUUUGACGGCCAGCUCGACGAGAUCAGCGACGAAAGCCGCCGGCGGGAAGCCGAGAUAUGCAAGAGCUAUCUCGAGCGCCUCUCGAAGAUCUCGCGGGACGAACUCUCCCGCGAGCGGCAAGUGGACGCCGAACUCCUGGCCCACGACCUCCGGUAUUCAAUCUGGCGUCUGGAACGAUUUGCGAGAUUGGUCCUGGGACCCGCUGCUCUACACCGGCCUGGCGGGCGACGCGGUGUACGGCCUGGUGGCCCGCGAAUUCGCGCCGCAAGCCGACCGCCUGCGCAACGCGACGAAGCGGCUGGAGCAAUUCCCGCGAGUGCUGGAACAGGUCCGUCGCACGCUGGAACCCAAGCGGGUGCCUGCCAUCCACGCGGAGACCGCGGUCAAGCAGAACCGCGGCGUGCUGAGCAUCAUCCGGCAGGCGGUCGAGCCACUGGCAGGCGCCUUGGGGAAGUCAGACCGCGAGCAGCUCGAACGAGCAAUCGAGACGGCGCGCGCCGCAAUCGACGAGCACCAGAAGUGGUUGGAGAACGAGCUCGUGCCACGAGCGGCGGGCGAGUUCCGUCUGGGGCGCGAGCUGUACGACGAAAAACUGGCCUUCGCACUGCACUCGCCGCUGACGCGAGACGAGAUUCGCCGCCGCGCCGAGAGCGAACUCGGCCGUGUGCGGGAGGAGAUGUGGCAGAUUGCUCGCGACGUGUAUCAGAAGCGCUACCCCUCGA